GAAUAAAUAUGUUAAUAAAUACGUGUUGGUUAUAUCUGCAAGUAAAGUAGUGUAUAUUAUAUCAAAAGUGUCGAAAAAAAGUAUCGUACAACAUUAAAAUAUAGUACAUUGCGUCGAUAGUGCAAAUGUGCGACAGUUCCGCCAAUUAACUCUACAGGAUUUUAUAAUUCCGAGUCAUUAAAAUAAUCGACGCAUCUUAAUAAUAAACUUACAUUGUAUCAUACAAUAUUGGAGUAAAAUCGUUGUUAUCGUUUUACGUUUUGAUAUUACGUUUACAUCUUUACGUUUAAUUAUUAAAUACAAUCGCUAUUAAUUAUAUGUCGGGCGGAUACAGUUUUCGAAUUAUUCUUCCGAAAAUAUAAUAAAGUGCGUGUUGUAUUACAUAAUUAACGCGUCGGGAGUGCCGUGCAAAGUGUCGUGCGAUCAUCGUAUUUUAUCGAUUAGUGCGCGCGCGUCCGUAAUUAACUAUGUUUUCGCGAGUGAGUGUGAGUGUAAUGAAGAAACAACAAAGGACAACAAACAAGAGAGGAAGAGGAGGCCCAGGGAGGCAUCGGGCAACGGUGGAGCAACCGUGUGUGAUCAACGUGUAUGUGUACUACAACUCCGACAUUGCACGUAUCAUAUUAUCGGAAAAAUAUGUCAUCGCAUAUGAGAAAUGGACCGCACGAAUCAUAUACGAAGGGUGUCUCGCUUUAUCGUGUUUUCUUAUCCUGCGGGAAAAAAGGAAAGCUGCGAAAAAAGCUGAGCACAAGAAUAGCAUUCAACAAAGGCGGCAAGACAAAAGAAUCGCGUUACCAUGCCUUACGGGCACAAUGUCCGGUGAAGAUGACGACUCGAGGACAUCCGGUGUUCUGAAAACGAAUACGGAAUGCAGCAUUUAUUCAAGAAAGGGACGUGUAUCUCUAAUAAUCUGGAAAGGCAACACAGGGAAUAGCGGCCGUUCUCCAUCUUCAACGUCGGCCAUCGAGGACGACAUUGCGACAGGCAGCGGUAGAGACGGUUUGCGGCGAGUUACAUUUCCCGGCGCAGCCGAAGCGUUUCGACCAGUAAAAGCUCUCGCGUGAACGUGGAGUCGCGCGAUACGGCGGUAUACACGCGGAACGCACGCACACGCUCGGCCGGCGAACACUCGCGUGUUGUGUGCGCCAUAGUUACCUACCUACACACCGGAUAGUCACAAAGGAACGAGAGAGAGAGAGAGAGAGAAAAUCGCAACGGGUUACGAGGAAGCCAGAAACGCGCGGCGUACCCGCGGCGAUGCCCAGGCACGUACCUGCACUAUUGCAUUAAAUCAUCGAAGCAGGUGAGAGCAGAAGAGCAUGUGCAUUCGCAAUUGUGCAUUCGAGACUAUUGCACCCGCUAAUCGCGCGCGAAUGCAACGUGCACUCCAACAAUAAAAUCUAACAUUAUCUGAUAUCCGAAGCGCCUUUAUACCAACUAUUCUCUUGAGGGAUUAUCGAAUGCCGUAAGUAAACGAGCAGGUGGACCGGUAUAUGAUGACGCAGGUAUACAAUAGCAUUUGCUGCUGCAAACCGAGUAUAAUUCGAGAAUUUAUUCCAUCGCUCGCGUCUUACAAUUGCGACUUCCCGCAUCUUCGAAUGCAUUAUGCAAAAGUCUCUAGGCUCUGUAAGUAAUGUUGCAAACAACCCGAAAUUAUCCACGCGAAUAUUAUUUGGUGCCGAUUACUCAGUUACAUCAGACAUAUCUGAUCGAUUAUUCGACCCCUAUCAUACGUCAAUUACGUUGCAGUUAGGCGUAAGUGAGAGAGUAGGAGGGUAGGAGUAUAUCGCACAAUACACAAUCGUAAUUGUAAUCGCAAAUUAGUCUGUCCAUAUGGGAAUGUCGAAUAACUUUAACGAUUUUUUCGGGUCCCUAUAUACCGGAUGGCCGGGUGCGAAAUGUCAGCAAACAGUCGUGCCCGGUUUCCGUUCGUAAUUCUGUCUUUAUUUUCCUUUGAAAAAGGAAGACUUGGAACGCAACACGCAGUCCGUAAAGCGCGAUACGGCAAGAUGCAUACUAAUUCGAACGAUUUUCGAAAACGUCACAGAAGCCUCUUCCGCCAACCUGCUUGACCUUUCGAAGCACGCGGUUCUAUUUCGACGACUAUCCUGUGUACAAUUAAAUUUUUGCAUAAGUCGAAAGUUGAUGCGACGUAGCAGAUGUCAAUAAAUUCCUUGACGUAUUGUGGUAUGUAAAAAUGUUGCACGGUGUAUGCAUAAUAUAGAAUAUUAUGAAUUUAUCGAAAGACACUGAAUCAUCGAAAAAAAAUCUGUACAUCUUAUAACAUUUUUACUUUAAUAUACGCAAUUUUCAUCUUUUUUUAUAUAAGUAGAAUUAAAUGAUUCAAUUACUUAAUAUAACAUUUAACAAAUUAGAACCAAUAUUAUAAAGAUAAUUGAAUUUUCAAUACGAAAAGAGCAAAGAAGCCUACACACAUACAUACAUACACACACACACAUCGCCCUUUAAUAAAUGAGUUAUAAAAUAAAUAUCUCGACGUAACGCCCUGUUUCUCCGACAAUUAAGCUCCAUAAAACACUAAACCGUAGGAUACCCGAGCGUUUCGGCCACCAAUGAAUAUUUUUAUUUAAUGUCCCAUUAGUGUUCUAGCCCGCCCCUGAAACUCACCGGGAAUAAUUGUUCAGAAUGCUGCUGGUGUUUCAGGGAAACACCCAUAAAGUCACAAGAAAGCAAUCUCUUUUAACGAGCUGCGGAAUUCCACGGAUUUAAUCGUCCCAUUGAGAAAUAAUUUUAUAAUUCCGAUAUAUUUUUACACGCGUUUAUUGUCCAUUUUUAUAAUUGGGGAAUAUUUUUCACUCAUAAAUGCUCAUCUCAUAUAUCUUUCUUGAUUUGUUCCAAUAUGUUUGAUAAUUCAUUAUCCACGCUUCAAGAACAUUAAUAGUUUUUACGAAAACCAAGUAAUCGAUACCGCAACGUUCAAGAUCAAUAUUCGGAAUACUUCGGAAAGUUUUUAAAAGAUUUAAGAUCGCGAUAAAUAAUAUCGAUAAAUUACGAUAAUUAAGCUUCUCUUUUUUGCUCGUGCAGAUUUCUCUCUCACGCGAGUAGCGACGAACAAUUAAGUGUCAAAAAUUCAUCGCGCCAUCGCGGCGACCGCCUUCGGCUCUUUAGAUAAAGAGGUACGCGAUAUCGAGUAACGAUGAGAGAAUUUCAAGUUGCAAGACGGCUUUGCGUACGGGACCAGGGGAGGGGAGGAGGGGAGGAAGAAACGGGGGCCAUCUCCGGUGGCGUAGCGGGUAGCGGUAGCAGUUAGCGCCAAAAUAAAAUAAGGAUGGUACAAAAUGAAAGGCAGGAAAAAUAAGUCGGCCCUUAUCUCGUCCUCGUCCCGUUCCGUUUGGCCCAUGCAUAUUCAGGAGCUUCGCUCUCCCUCUCUCUCUCUCCCGCAAUCUCGCUUCCUUCUCUCUCUCUCUCUCUUUCCUCGUAGAUUCAACGAACCAUCCCCCUUGGUUCUCGUGGUUGGUGCCACUGGCUCGUACCACGACGGACUCUAUACUUACCUACGUCCGCCACCCGCUAAUUUCUAGGCUUCCUUCUUUAAUUGCACCGGUGCGAUAAUAAGACCGUAUAUAUGCUCGUGUGUGUGUGUGUUUGUAUGGGUUUUAUAUGAGGGAACGUGCGAGCGACUGUGUAAAGUAGGUACAACGGGGUACCGUGUAACGAGGUAACACCCAUUCUUACACCCUCGACCAUCGAGAUAAUCUUUAUUGUCCCGAUGCCUGACGAGACGUCAUCGGUUGUUUCGGAUAUGUGAGAAGAUGAAGGGAUCUUUGUAUCUUUGAUACGGGAUGAAUAAGAAAUAUAACUAUAAAGAAACCAGUUUUAAAUUCGUUUCCGGCUUAAAAAGAUCAUCCUCGACAACAUCUGCGGCAGUUAGUCAUUCUUGAAAAAAAAAAAAAAAAUUAAUGAUUAACACGUCUCUAGUUGCGUAGGACGUGUGACGUGUGUAGGAUUGUUCUCUUGAGAAUAUAAUUUGUGUUCAACGUAAUCUCACAAUCAGUCAUAAACUCGUACUUUAUCUGUUAUAGCGAUAUUACACAAUGGUCCCUAUAACCGUGAAGAACAAUCGAUGAAUGAUGCUACAAGAGCUCGCGCCUAUGAUCAAAAAUGAUUCAGCUACAUGAGAAGACGUUUUUAAUCGGAAUAUAUAAAGAAUUGGCGGUAUUGUCGAUUCGCUAAAAAUCGGAACGUCAAAUAACUCUCGAACGAAGAGAGCGCGAUGCGAUAGACGCUCAUUUGACAUGCACGUCGCAUAUGUUUUAGUGGAAUAAGGUCACAAGACAGACCGGCCCGAGGCUCUUCUUCAAGUAUGGUAUCAUCGAGCAUCAGACCGACACAAUGGCGCGGCGAUGUCUCUCGGAAUGGAACGGAACGCCGACGACGGAUUUCGUAUUGUCUGCAAGCGGGACGCGAUGGCGUGUCACGCGUCUUAUCGCAUUCUUAUAACGCGCGUGACACGCACGACGGUACCUACCUACUUACUUUAUACCGGCGGCCUUACGUUCGCUUUACGUCGCCCGUGGUGAUCGGCCACGGUCCAUUAUGGCCGUGGAAAACGGACCAUCGAUCGACAGCUGUACGCCGGGCUACCUGCACGCCGAGGAUGGAUGGCUUCAUUAAGAGAGAGGCAUUAGCGAACGGAUCGUUCUUUGGCGGACGGUGAAUUUGGCGCACCGCAGUAAUUUUCGAUUACGACGCGCGAGAAAAAGAGUGAAGAAAAUAACUCUGUUCCUCGCAGUUAUAUAUCUUCUCACGCCUUUUGUAUUUAAGGUGAAAUAGCGUAUGUUCAGUAUCAUGUUAAGUGGAAACACUAAUUCUGUAGAAAGAUAUUUCAAAAAAAUUGAUAAUAAAUAUAAAGUUAAUAACAUA